AGCGAACGCUGGCGGCAGGCCUAACACAUGCAAGUCGAACGAACUCUUCGGAGUUAGUGGCAGACGGGUGAGUAACACGUGGGAACGUGCCUUUAGGUUCGGAAUAACUCAGGGAAACUUGUGCUAAUACCGAAUGUGCCCUUCGGGGGAAAGAUUUAUCGCCUUUAGAGCGGCCCGCGUCUGAUUAGCUAGUUGGUGAGGUAAAGGCUCACCAAGGCGACGAUCAGUAGCUGGUCUGAGAGGAUGACCAGCCACAUUGGGACUGAGACACGGCCCAAACUCCUACGGGAGGCAGCAGUGGGGAAUCUUGCGCAAUGGGCGAAAGCCUGACGCAGCCAUGCCGCGUGGAUGAUGAAGGUCUUAGGAUUGUAAAAUCCUUUCACCGGUGAAGAUAAUGACUGUAGCCGGAGAAGAAGCCCCGGCUAACUUCGUGCCAGCAGCCGCCGCCGUAA
rnacentral:rRNA from 1 species